CAGUCGCCGCGGUAAUACGGAGGGUGCAAGCGUUAAUCGGAAUUACUGGGCGUAAAGCGCACGCAGGCGGUCUGACAAGUCAGAUGUGAAAUCCCCGGGCUUAACCUGGGAACUGCAUUUGAAACUGUCAGGCUGGAGUCUUGUAGAGGGGGGUGGAAUUCCAGGUGUAGCGGUGAAAUGCGUAGAGAUCUGGAGGAAUACCGGUGGCGAAGGCGGCCCCCUGGACAAAGACUGACGCUCAGGUGCGAAAGCGUGGGGAGCAAACAGGAUUAGAUAACCGGGUAGUCCCUGUCUCUUAUAA
rnacentral:rRNA from 1 species